GGCUAACGCUGGCGGCGUGUCUUAGCCAUGCAAGUCGAGCGGACUUAUGGGGUAACUUAUAAGUCAGCGGCGGACGGCGGAGUAACACGUAGCUAACCUACCCUCUGGACGGGGAUAACCUACCGAAAGGUGGGCUAAUACCCGAUGUAGUCAUCCUGUAUAGGGGUGAUGAAAGGUGGGCUUCUGUUUACAAGCUCAUGCUGGAGGAGGGGGCUGCGGCCUAUCAGGUAGUUGGUAGGGUAAUAGCCUACCAAGCCGAUGACGGGUAGCCGGCCUGAGAGGGUGACCGGCCCGAGGGGCACUGAGAUACGGGUCCCACUCCUACGGGAGGCAGCAGGCUAGAAAUUUGGGCAAUGGGGGAAACCCUGACCCAGUGACGCCGCGUGCAGGAAGGAGCCCUUCGGGGUGUAAACUGCUGUCGUGUAGGGAGAAGGGUACUAAGGUGAACAAUCUUAGUACUUGACGGUACUACAGGAGGAAGCCCAGGCUAACCUCGUGCCAGCAGCCGCGGUAAAGUACGUACUACUA
rnacentral:rRNA from 1 species